UUAUAAGGACAGAGCUGUAGGGAGCC
rnacentral:piRNA from 1 species